ensembl:lncRNA
UGGAGACGGGAGGUGUUGGUGGGGUGGUUGUUACCUUUGGUUUGGUCUGGUAGAGUGUGUGUCCUUUCUCUUCAGUUGCAUUGAGGCUGUUAAAGGCUGACUGGUUCCCUGAUGUGUUACCUGCUUCUGCCACUGAUUGAAACUGCAGAACUUCUCAUUCGUCCCCAAGACUUCCAGUAGGGAAUCAGCUCUAAAAGAAACCAGACCAACGUUUGCCAGCCCCUGCAUUCUGCUACCUCUAUGUGAGGAAUGGAUAGAAUACGUUCAGGCCAUCAUCAUGCAAAGCUCCAGUAGCAGUGACGCCUACACGGAAGACUUGGAACUGCAAACAGAGGCCGGGGUCACCUCAGUGACAUCUGACGCUGUCCAACCAGAAGUUCGAUUUUUGUUUGGGGCGGGGGGUUGGGGGAAGAAGCAGACUGUACUAAAGAACUAAAACAAUUUC